AACGAACGCUGGCGGCAUGCCUAACACAUGCAAGUCGAACGAGACCUUCGGGUCUAGUGGCGCACGGGUGCGUAACGCGUGGGAACCUGCCCUUAGGUUCGGAAUAACUCCCCGAAAGGGGUGCUAAUACCGGAUAAUGUCUUCGGACCAAAGAUUGAUCGCCUUUGGAGGGGCCCGCGUUGGAUUAGCUAGUUGGUAGGGUAAAAGCCUACCAAGGCGACGAUCCAUAGCUGGUCUGAGAGGAUGAUCAGCCACACUGGGACUGAGACACGGCCCAGACUCCUACGGGAGGCAGCAGUGGGGAAUAUUGGACAAUGGGCGAAAGCCUGAUCCAGCAAUGCCGCGUGAGUGAUGAAGGCCUUAGGGUUGUAAAGCUCUUUUACCCGGGAUGAUAAUGACAGUACCGGGAGAAUAAGCUCCGGCUAACUCCGUG
rnacentral:rRNA from 1 species